rnacentral:lncRNA from 1 species
GCCCCGGGGCCCCUCGCAAGGCGGCUGCGUCCUGCAGAGCGGGGCCCGGCCGGGGUGGGGUGCGAUAAGCCCUUGUCGCCCGCUGUCCCCGCUCGGCGGUGUGUGCCACGAGCCCCCGGGAGCCCAGCGCCGCUCCACGUGCGUCUCAGCCCCGGCCGGCGAGAGGUUCAUAGCAGGCCCAGGCGCAUGGGUGGAGGCGGUAGCUGUCUGAAGUAGCCAAGAUCUUCAGUUGAUAUCGCUAAUUACCAUCUUAUGGUGCCAAAGUUUGCAAGCCUCUGUGCAGCACAGAAUGAAAUGACAUAUUCCCUGCCCCGAGGAGUUUACAAUCUGAGUGGAUCUGACAACACGAGGGUGUGACAGGACACCACGGGGUUGCAGCAGCAGGAUCAUGCUGUUGAGGACUUAACUUACUCCAGGACUACAGAUGAGAGAAAGCAACAGCUCCAGAGGCCUCUUGGGAUGGCAGGAUGGAUCUGACAACGCAAGGUGUGACAGAAUGCCACAAGGUUGCAGCAACAGAAUCCCGGGAUCCAGUGCCCAGACAAAGAGUGGAUGCUGUUGUUGGCUACAGAUUCAAAUGUCAUCUGGAUCUGGAGUCUUCCAGCUUAUGAUUUCAUCGUUGCAAAUGCUGAGUUUCAGAAGUCUGUUUAUAUGCUCUGUAAACUGAAAUGUUCAGUCUGAAAUAGUUUCAGACAUUGAAUUCUAAUGAAAACAUUUUAUGGUUGAAUUAUGCCUGCUUCCACUCUUAUAAAAAUUCUACUAAUGAUACCGAAAGUUUGCUUGUUCAUGUAUUCCCUUCAUCCGGACAAGCCAACCACAUUCAGGGAGCAGGACUUAAGGAUCUUAAAAGGCACACAUUAUUUCUGGAACAAAUCAAACAGAAUAACACCAUUAGCAUUAGCAUUGCCAUUUCCAUGAGAGGCAUAAUGUGUGGAAUUUGUUAGUUUAAGCCAGUUGCAUAUUCUAAUUUGGCAAUUUCACAUUCUGUAAAUUCCAGGAUUAAUACCAUUAUCCAACAUCACAAAAUGAGGGACCGGUGAUCUUUUGAAUGUCUCAGAGGGUAAAAUAGGUGACAGGAAAAAGUUCUGCCCACUUACGGGUUCAUCCAAGUACUGCUACGCGGAUUGGAAAGGCACCCAUUGACUUCACUGGGAACUGGAUGAGGCUCUAAACGUCAAUAAAAUCAAAGAAGUCUCACA